rnacentral:misc_RNA from 1 species
GAUGAAGAACGCAGCGAACUGCGAUAAGUAAUGUGAAUUGCAGAAUUCAGUGAAUCAUCGAGUCUUUGAACGCACAUUGCGCCCCCUGGCAUUCCGGGGGGCAUGCCUGUCCGAGCGUCAUUGCUGCCCUUCAAGCCCGGCUUGUGUGUUGGGUCGUCGUCCCCCCCGGGGGACGGGGCCGAAAGGCAGCGGCGGCACCGCGUCCGGUCCUCGAGCGUAUGGGGCUUUGUCACCCGCUCGAUUAGGGCCGGCCGGGCGCCAGCCGGCGUCUCCAACCUUCUAUUUUACCAGGUUGACCUCGGAUCAGGUAGGGAUACCCGCUGAACUUAAGCAUAUCAAUAAGCGGAGGA